UCGGUCGAACAAGAAGAAGAAGAAAACGGUAACCUGCAACUCGAUCGUGCCCUCCGACGAGCAAUUCUCAGGUAGAAAGUUGACCGACGUGCGAACCUCUUCCCUCCGACGUGCAAACAUCUUCCCUCCGACGUACGAACCUCUCCCCCCUCCAGCGUGCGAACCUCUCCCAAGAAGAAACAUAAAGGAGAGAAUGAAGAUGAGAUCGGCACAUCUCAACGACUGACUAGAUCACAGGUAUUUAUGUCUAGCACAGUUGGGUAUUUACAGGACAAAGUACUAACCAAACAGAAGACCAAUCAAGUAAAGAGGACAACAAAGGAGAGGGAGAAGAAAUGAAGCACAAGCAAUCUAGAUAUUUUAAUUUAGAACAAGAAAACAAUGUUGUAUUAAGUUACUUUUUCUGAGUUUAAGACAAUUGGGUGUUUCCUUAUGGUUUUGGAUGUUUUUGACGGAUUUAAUUUUUUUUUUAAGAACUAUUUCUAUUUCACACUAGACAUGGUUAUGUGGAAUAUGUUAUGAAUAGGAAUUGGAACAGGUAUUUAUA